rnacentral:rRNA from 1 species
AGAUUGAACGCUGGCGGCAUGCCUAACACAUGCAAGUCGAACGGCAGCGCGGGUAGCAAUACCUGGCGGCGAGUGGCGGACGGGUGAGGAAUACAUAGGAAUCUACCCUGUCGUGGGGGAUAACGUAGGGAAACUUACGCUAAUACCGCAUACGACCGAGAGGUGAAAGCGGCGGACCGCAAGGCGUCGCGCGGCUGGAUGAGCCUAUGUCCGAUUAGCUAGUUGGCGGGUAAGAGCCCACAAGGCGACGAUCGGUAGCUGGUCUGAGAGGAUGAUCAGCCACACUGGGACUGAGACACGGCCCAGACUCCUACGGGAGGCAGCGAGUGGGGAAUAGUUGGACAAGUGGGCGCAAGCCUGAUCCAGCAAUGCCGCGUGUGUGAAAGGAAGGCCUUACGGUUAGUAAAGUACGUAACGUUUAAGUUAGGGUAAAGUAAAAACGUACGAC